rnacentral:misc_RNA from 1 species
AGCUCAAAGGGUUAUUCUGGGAGGAGAUAGGUGUCAGCAAAAGUGAGAAAAUAGAAGAGAGGCAAAUAAUUGAUGCUUCUGCCUCGAAAGGAAAAGGCGACGCUUUUACAUAAUGGUACAGGUCACAAAAAGGUAAUUACCGUUAUGUGACAGUUGCAACAGCCCCAUUUCCAUUACACACAACCGCGACUUAAAUCCAUUGCCCCUGCCACUUUGCCAUUGU